rnacentral:rRNA from 1 species
UACGGGAGGCAGCAGUGAGGAAUAUUGGUCAAUGGUCGAGAGACUGAACCAGCCAUGCCGCGUGAAGGAAUAAGGCCCUAUGGGUCGUAAACUUCUUUUACCGCAGAGUAAACCCGGGGACGCGUCCCCGGUUGAGAGUAUGCGGGGAAUAAGUAUCGGCUAACUCCGUGCCAGCAGCCGCGGUAAU